CUUUCAACAACGGAUCUCUUGGCUCCGGCAUCGAUGAAGAACGCAGCGAAAUGCGAUAAGUAAUGUGAAUUGCAGAAUUCAGUGAAUCAUAGAAUCUUUGAACGCACAUUGCGCCCCCUGGUAUUCCGGGGGGCAUGCCUGUCCGAGCGUCAUUG
rnacentral:rRNA from 1 species